ensembl:lncRNA novel transcript
CGAACUACCGCUUUCCCCGUAACCAGGGAGACUGCAGUUUGCAGUGAUGUGGCUAAGAUACCCUUGUGCUAUUAAAGGCACAUUUACGUAUCUUUCAACGCAGUUUGUACCUUUGUUUAGGGUUCUAUUGAACUUUCUCUGUGCUCUUUAGAAAACCGUCGAAUAAAGGUAACCAUCUUUUUGGGUGCCUGGGCAUGGUCAUUGUCCCAGAGUUUUAACAGAAGUCUCUACUAAAGUAUCCUGAUUUGCAAGGGAGGUCAUGGACCAAGUACAAAGCGGCAAAAGGAUGGAAUUAAGGUACCUGACAUUGUUGAACCCAUGCCUGAUGCCACAUUAGCUCAGGACUACCUACAUGGACAUGGAUAUUUCCAGUGAAAGAAAGAAGAAAGCAUGCUUUUCUCUUGACUGUGCAGAAAAAAAAACUAUGUUUCUUUGAUUCUCCAUUUUACUAGAUGCCAUACCUUUGCAAUUACUUCAUGUGGAGUCUUGACCAAGAUUCAGGAAAUACUAGAACUUUCAGUCCCAGAAGGUUACUCUGGGCAUUACUAGUCCCCAUCAUUAUGAGUUGAGUUUUACUAGUUAAUUUCAGACGAAAAAUAUUUGUUUUUCCCCAAAUUCUGGGGUUACGUACUUUUACUACCUAUGAACUGACAACUGUAUCUUCAGUAAUUACAAUUUCCAACAAAAUGUUAUAGGAAUAAAGAAAAGAUGUUAGUUCAUUAUUCAGAGUUUAUGUUUAUUCCUUUAAUAAAAAGAAAUGGUCUG